UAUUUUUAAGAACAUUUUGCUGAUUUGUA
rnacentral:piRNA from 1 species